rnacentral:rRNA from 1 species
GACGAACGCUGGCGGCGUGCUUAACACAUGCAAGUCGAACGGAAAGGCCCUGCUUUUGUGGGGUUCUCGAGUGGCGAACGGGUGAGUAACACGUGAGUAACCUGCCCUUGACUUUGGGAUAACUUCAGGAAACUGGGGCUAAUACCGGAUAGGAGCUCCUGCUGCAUGGUGGGGGUUGGAAAGUUUCGGCGGUUGGGGAUGGACUCGCGGCUUAUCAGCUUGUUGGUGGGGUAGUUGCUUACCAAGGCUUUGACGGGUAGCCGGCCUGAGAGGGUGACCGGCCACAUUGGGACUGCGAUACGGACCAGACUCCUACGGGAGGCAGCAGUGGGGAAUAUUGCGCAAUGGGCCGAAGCCUGAUGCAGCAACGCCGCGUGCGGGAUGCCGGCCUUCGGGUGGAAAACCGCUUUCGCCUGUGACGAAGCGUGAGUGACGGUAAUGGGUAAAGAAGCACCGGCUAACUACGUG